GACAGAGGGUGCUAGCGUUGUUCGGAAUUACUGGGCGUAAAGUGCGUCUAGGCGGAUUGCUAAGUCUGAUGUGAAAGCCCAGAGCUUAACUCUGGAAGUGCAUUGGAAACUAGCAGUCUUGAGUCCCAGAGAGGAAGGUGGAAUUCCCAGUGUAGAGGUGAAAUUCGUAGAUAUUGGGAGGAACACCAGCGGCGAAGGCGACCUUCUGGAUGGAGACUGACGCUGAAGCGCGAAAGCGUGGGGAGCAAACAGG
rnacentral:rRNA from 1 species